AUCAGGAUGACAGUAAGUAAAAUGUUAGACGGACUUGGUGGCACACACCUGUCAUCCCAGCACUCAGGAGGCUGAGGCAGGAGGGUUGCCAUGCGUUUGGCAAAUAAAUAAAAUAAAACAAAACAAAACAGAAAAAAAGGAGUAAGUAAACCGCUUUCCAGGGUCUGCAGGGACAUCAGCAGUGUGUUCAAUGUCCCCUACAGCGAUGCCACAGGACCCGGCCACUGUCCUAACCCUUCAGCCACCCCGGACUCCGGGAAAGCAGAGCCCGCAGGCCACCCGGGACACGUCCACCCCCAUGCGGGAACCAUGGCCCCACAUGGGAACUGCAACCCCCACCCAUCAUGCCCUGCGACGCUGUCUCCCAGGACCCACAGGCCGCCCUGAACGCAGGUCAGCCAGACCACGACUCGCACAGGAUGGCCCGGCUGCCGGUGACACAAACCCACAGUCUUGCCUUUGUUCCCCUUUUUCUAUAAAACCCCAACGUUUCUGCAAACCCCUUGAACACAGACCCUGAACUUUACCUGGGCUUCCCAGCACAGCCGUGUGGGACAGGAAUGAUCUUCAGCCCUGUCUUCCCAGCACUCGUGGAGGCUGAGGCAGGAGAGUCACAAGUUCAAGCUCAGCCUAGGCAGCUUACUGAAACCCCUCCAACCUUUGGGCUUGCAGCUGUCCCAGGAAGGACCACGCACACCUGGUCCUGUCUUGCUGGCCUGGCCCUGGCAGCCGUCGUGCGUCCCCCUUGGAGCAAAACCUUUCCCCUCCUGGGGCGGUUUCCUCAUCCAACACUUUUUCACAAUGUUCUUGGUAGCAGCUGUUGGUUAAUUUGUGUUUUUAAGAUUUUGAGCAACUUUUUCUCGUUAAAAAAAAAAAAAAAAAUUAAAAGGGGAAGCUGUCUCCGCUUCCUCCACGUCUGGGGCCCAGCGCCACCGACUCCUUUCUUCCCUGUGGCCCCCUACACCGGCUCUCCUUGGUUGAUUGAGCCACCUCGCUUCCUCUUCUGCCGGGAGCCACCAGCCCAUGCUGCAAGUCCCAGCCACAUCCGAUUUGCCCCCUUGGCAGCCAGGGUCUGUGGGCUCCCCCUCGCCACCGCCUCCUCCGUGCCCCUCCCCCCGCAGCACCUGGUCACCCUGGACCCUGAGGCUUCUAAAGGUUCAGCAAGUUUUCGUGCUGGUGUCUGAAGCCUGCGUCUCCCCGAGCUAAACAAUCGUCCGCAGCACCUGAUGUGUUGAACAAGUCAGCCAGCAUGGGCGUGUGCCUGUUAUCCCAGCAGUCAGGAAGCUGAGGCAGGAGGAUCUCUCUGAGCUGCUGAGGGAAGGAAAAGUUCGUUCCAGAACUGCACUUUAUUCCCGGGGAAGGAAGGACAAGGCCAGCAACAAUCCUCAGCAGACGACGGGUGGAGUCGGGCAAGAUAGUGCCCGCCUGCAUCCCAGCUACUCAGGACGCUGAGGCAGGAGGAUCCCAACUUCAAAGACAGCCUGGACAAUUUAUCGAGACCUUUGUUCAAAAAUAAAAUUGAAAAGGGCUGAAGAUGUGUGCGCUCAGCAGUGGAGCCCUUGGCUACUGUUCGCACCACCUGGGCUGCAGUCCCAGUACUGUAGCGCUGCAGAGAGAGGAGAGAGGGAAGGGCAGAGGAGGGGGAGAUCGGGCGAAGAAGCGACGGUUGUCACCACCUCUAUGGGGAGAUUCCUGGGUACCAGGGACACCCUUGAGCCCAGCGGAGAGUCACAGCUGGGUGACUUUCCAGACCCCCUGAUGUGAGCCGGGUCGCACGAUUCUGCCUGCAGUGGAAUCUGUGACCGGGGCUGGGGUUCUCACACCCGCUUACAGGAGAACGCGGGGCGAGUUAUGUGCAUUAGGAGGGAUCAGCCGAUGAAACCCAGGCGCGGGACAUCCUGCGGGGCAGGCAGGGAACCCCGGAGCGAGAACCCCGGAGCGAGGAUGCCACAGGACAGGAAGCAGGGGCCUCUGGGGCGCCUGGGCUCAAGGGGAGGGGGUGCGUUGCGGGGGGCGGGGCAGCAGGGUGCUGUGUGUCGGGAAUCAGGAAUUCCUACCCGGACACACAGGGGAACGGAGUCGCGGGGGCGGCCUCCUGGGGUGCAGAGACGGGGCGGGUUGGAGGACUGGAGCCGCCGCCACGCCCACCGGGGCCCUGGACCCUUGCAGGCUGUCUUCUUUGAAGCAGAAACACGAGAUCACCAGGCGUGAGGAAGUAGCACGCGCGGAGGCGGCCUAAGGGACCACGUCUCCGCUCAGAGCCAGCGUCACCCCUGCCCUACUUCUCCGGGGCCUCUAGGGUCACCCGAGCCCCAGCCGCGUUGACAGGCUCUGGUCAAAGCCCGGGAAGUUGGGCCACAGUGCCGCCUGGCGUCCGCGACGCAUGUGCUAAGGUGGGGCUGACAACCAACUCCCGCCCCCCACCAGGGACUGAGGACCUGCGUUCUCCCACAUCCCUGCCCCACGCAGUGCGGCUCUGCUGCUGGGGAGGCUGAGACAGGAAGAUCCUUCCUCACCGCGGCACUGCUGGUGCACGGUGCUUCGUGCCUGCCUCGGGCCCCACUUGCACGACGGCGCGUGCAGUUUUUCUUAGAUUGCCCCGUGUGCUUAGAAGGAUCGAUGACCCCAACCUCAGCAAGCUCCUGGGUGCCCUAAAGGCGACGCAAGGACAAAAAGCAGCGCUCCGCCAGGAGGCGACUUCCUCGCCCCUGCCCUGCCCAGACAGUGUGGGCAAAGAAGCCUCGUGGGCCCCGGAGCAGAGCGCAGCCUUUGCCUCUCCACCGUCUGGGCAGAGGGUCGGGUUCUCCUAUCCUCUCCCACCUUCAAACCCGAAAGUCCCAACCCCCUGCACAUAAAGCAACUAGCUGGAGACAAGGCCUUUACAGAGAUAAUUAAGAAGAGGAAAUUAAAUGCGGACCCGAAGAGGGGGCAGGGAGGUGAGAAGGAUUGAAGUAUGUAUAAAUCUUCCCAAAGGAAUCCCAUUAAUUUUUUAAAAAUGCUUUAAGAAUUUAAAAUAAACCCAUGAAGGUUUUUUAAUUUUCAAAGAGGAAAUCAGGACACAGACAUAUAGAGAGAGAUGACCAGGACGAAGAGGGAAGAGAGCUCAGCUAGUCAGGUGCUCAGGAGAGCACCUUAACUUCUGCUAAGCCACCCAGUCUGUUUUGUGACUGCAACCCUAGCAAAUACACCCACUGAAGGCUCUGCUAAGUCCUGCAGCCAGGAGCACCCUGGAGCUUAGAAGAAGCAGGGAGGGUCUGCCAUGGGACCAUCCUUGCUUGAACGCAGGGUCUGAUCCCUGAAGCCAGAGACAACCCAGCCUCUGUGCUGCCGGUCCCAUGGGACCAGUUCCUGCCUGUAAUCCCAGCACUCUAGGAGGCUGAGGCAGGACGAUCCCAAGUUGGAAGCCAGCCCUGUAAGACUUUGUCUCAAAUAACCACAAUACUACCACUCCUACCAGAGAGCAGCCAGGAGAAGCCUAGUGACAAAGGAGUGACACCGUGCCACCAGCUGUGCCACACUCCCUGCUGUCUGCUCUGCAAAGUGGCUGCUGGGACAGGGACCAGCAAGGCAGCCAGGCUUCACUGCGAGUGAAUCCU